GAUGAACGCUGGCGGCGUGCCUAAUACAUGCAAGUCGAGCGAACGGACGAGAAGCUUGCUUCUCUGAUGUUAGCGGCGGACGGGCGAGUAACACGUGGAUAACCUACCUAUAAGACUGGGAUAACUUCGGGAAACCGGAGCUAAUACCGGAUGAUAUUUUGAACCGCAUGGUUCAAAAGUGAAAGACGGUCUUGCUGUCACUUAUAGAUGGAUCCGCGCUGCAUUAGCUAGUUGGUAAGGUAACGGCUUACCAAGGCAACGAUGCAUAGCCGACCUGAGAGGGUGAUCGGACACACUGGAACUGAGACACGGUCCAGACUCCUACGGGAGGCAGCAGUAGGGAAUCUUCCGCAAUGGGCGAAAGCCUGACGGAGCAACGCCGCGUGAGUGAUGAAGGUCUUCGGAUCGUAAAACUCUGUUAUUAGGGAAGAACAUAUGUGUAAGUAACUGUGCACAUCUUGACGGUACCUAAUCAGAAAGCCACGGCUAACUACGU
rnacentral:rRNA from 1 species